UGAGAGGUUGGCCGGCCACAUUGGGACUGAGACACGGCCCAGACUCCUGCGGGAGGCAGCAGUGGGGAAUAUUGCACAAUGGGGGGAACCCUGAUGCAGCAAUGCCGCGUGGGUGAAGAAGCACUCCGGUGCGUAAAGCCCUGUCAGCAGGGAAGAAAAUGACAGUACCUGACCAAGAAGCCCCGGCUAACUACGUGCCAGCAGCCGCGGUAAUACGUAGGGGGCAAGCGUUAUCCGGAUUUACUGGGUGUAAAGGGAGCGCAGGCGGUAUGGCAAGUCAGAUGUGAAAACCCAGGGCUCAACCCUGGGACUGCAUUUGAAACUGCCAUACUGGAGUGCCGGAGAGGUAAGUGGAAUUCCUAGUGUAGCGGUGAAAUGCGUAGAUAUUAGGAGGAACACCAGUGGCGAAGGCGGCUUACUGGACGGUAACUGACGCUGAGGCUCGAAAGCGUGGGGAGCAAACAGGAUUAGAUACCCUGGUAGUCCACGCUGUAAACGAUGAAUACUAGGUGUCGGGGUACAUAAGUACCUCG
rnacentral:rRNA from 1 species